UACAGAGGUCCCAAGCGUUGUUCGGAUUCACUGGGCGUAAAGGGUGCGUAGGUGGUGAGGUAAGUCGGAUGUGAAAGCUCGGAGCUCAACUCCGAAAUGGCAUUGGAAACUACCUUGCUCGAGGGUUGGAGGGGGGACUGGAAUGCUUGGUGUAGCAGUGAAAUGCGUAGAUAUCAGGAGGAACACCGGUGGCGAAGGCGGCCCUCUGGACGGUGACUGACGCUGAGACGCGAAAGCGUGGGGAGCAAACAGG
rnacentral:rRNA from 1 species